GCAAACUAAGUUGGAUCUUAUUUAACUACCUUCAGCUUACAAAGCCCUUUUCUAGAAAGUCCUGGAAGAGAUUCUAGAAUUAGAACACUGUAAAGAAACCUAUCAACCCUACUUUAAUUUAUAGAUACAAUACCAAUCAAGCAGCACAUUCAACUAAAAAUACAAACGCGUAUGAUGACAAGACUAGAAAAAUUCCAUAAAAAUAGUCUAAAUAAUACCUAAAGAAAUGCAAGCCACAAACAAUUUGAAGCAUACACAAACCAUGUGAACAAGUAAAUUGAAUUAAGCUAACUAACAAGUAAAUAAAUCAAGUUCUCGCUGAGCAUAAGAGUAAUUGGCAAUAACAAAAUCCCAACUAACAUCAUACACAAAGCUAAACUAACUCAACUACAGAACACCUCAACUGCAUCAAUUGGACAGCCCGCAAAUGAGCUAUAACUCAUUUGCCUUGAAUAUUCUAGAGUGCUGUUCCAUGUGAAGUAUUUGAGAAAUAACAAUUAUCUGAUCUUAUCUUUGUCAAUUCUCAUAAAAUCUACCUUGUUCACCAUGUUUCCAAUGUUUCCUUCAAAACUGUAAUUGAUUUCUUUGUUUGCAAUGAUAAUGUUAUACAGCUAGAAGGCUCUUUCUAAACUAGUUUAACUGACUGACAGAAAGAGAUACAGUACAUUGAAUUUUCAGCCUGCAUUAAGCAGCGUCAGGUAGGAGAAAGUCCAGUUAAGGAUAGAAACAAAAUUAAGUCCUAUUACUAGUAAUGGUAUCAUCCCAGUUGUUGAAUGAAUGCAGUACCACUGAUUCUCCACUUCCUUUUUAUCGUCGUCCUAAAGGGUCGAAUUUAUACAUAUUAAUCCGUUACAACACCAAAUACAACAUUUAUCGUGAUUGGUUCUGCAUUGAUUUAAAAGGUAUCAAAUUCAACAGCAGCUGCCAGCAACAAUUUGAUGAUCAGUUUGGUAACCAAACAAAAUUUCUCAGCAAACCAUUGUUCAGUAUGCCACCUGAUAUGCUUCACCAUGUUACUUGUGUUGCCGUUGGCUCUAAGAUUUACUCUUUGGGUGGCUAUGACCGUACUACUUAUAUCUCUCACCCUAGAAUUUAUAACAAAGCCUAUGUUUACGACACAGCAGCACAUGACAACAACAACGUAAUCAAUUAACUUAAUUGAGUGAUCAGACCUGUAUUUCUCAUUGAGUGAUCAAUAAUAAUUCUACCUUAAUAAAAAAAAAAAAAAUAGAAUCUAUGAUGAUAUAAACAUAAUCUUAACAUCAACCAUACUAUAAAACUAACAUGAUUAACACCCUCAUAUACAAAUUUAAGUUUUGAAAAUUAUAAAAAUCAAAUAACUAACUUUCGCAACAAUGGAAUUCCUUCAAUAAAUUUCACAACUAUCAAACCAUUAGAAAACAUAAAAAAAUUACCUUUAUUUAAUCAGAAACAGGGCAACGAAACACGAAUUGCAAGAGAUAAAGUUGAUGACUUCGCCGAAGAAUCCAAUUGGAGAGGUGAAAAGGAGUUAAUAGAGAGAAAACUGCUUGUUUAACAAAGAAAAUUAGAGAGAUCGAUUUUGCUGAUCUGUAGAGAAGAUGAUGCAAAGAAGAUGCAAAGCUUGUUGGACUGGGCUUUACAAAUUUUUCUUAAAUAGGCCUAGGUAAGUCUGUAAUGGGUCGGGUCAUAUGUCUUUUUUCUUAUGUUUUUUGACAAUAUCAAUAAAUUUA
rnacentral:lncRNA from 1 species